UCUGUUUUGCAGACAGGAAAUGAGCAGUGAAAUGGAGCAUUUGAGGGGCUGAGCUGCUGGAUGAGCUGAUCGUCUUCUGGAGGCCGGCCUGGUCGGCCGCCCGUGUUUUUACUGGCUGCUCUGCUCGGCUCACGGAGUUCGGGUCGACACCGUCACACCGUCGCCAGCACUGCAGACCCUUGACGUUCUUUCAAUCAGCUCCCAGAUGUAACCACCUGGAAUGCUUCUCCAGUCCUGAAGGAGUUUCCACAAGUUCUGACCACAAAUUGGCUACCUUCCUCUUACUCUUUGAUCCAACUCAUCCCAAACCAGCUCUAUAGGGUUUAUGUCGAGGGAGGAUUCCAUCUCUUUCCUUGUUCUCAAGGGUCACAGGGGACCUGGAGCCUGUCCCAGACAGCACAGGGCACUAGGCUGGGGGAUACCAACCCUGGAUGGGAUACCAAUCCAUCACAGGUCACA